rnacentral:rRNA from 1 species
UACGAAGGGGGCUAGCGUUGCUCGGAAUCACUGGGCGUAAAGCGCACGUAGGCGGGUCGUUAAGUCGGGGGUGAAAUCCUGGAGCUCAACUCCAGAACUGCCUCCGAUACUGGCGAUCUUGGAGUCCGGGAGAGGUGAGUGGAACUGCGAGUGUAGAGGUGAAAUUCGUAGAUAUCCGGAAGAACACCAGUGGCGAAGGCGGCUCACUAGCCCGAUACUGACGCUGAGACACGAAAGCUAGGGGAGCAAACAGG